rnacentral:lncRNA from 10 species
CCUGUUUGUUCUUCUUCAAACCUCAGGAUUUCUCCGUGUUUCCCAGACCGUAACGUUUGGAAUAGUUCACCAGUGAAGUCAUCUCAACCAGCACAGGGCCUUGACUCCUAACAACAAUCACACGAACUUGGAAGAGGAUCCUUCCCCAGCUGAAACUUCACUUGAGACCUUCUCAUUGGCCAUCAUCGACAUCUGGAUUCAUGAUACAGAGAAACUUGAGUAAUGAUGACAAUAGCAGUCCAGCCUGCAUGGAUGCUGACAUGGAUGCUGUCUCCCAUUCUUACCACUGGAUGUCAAGAACUGCUAGAUGCGAUCCAGCCAGUCUGUACUCGACUCUCAGUUCCAUCUUCUCAACUCACAGUGUCUUCCAAAGUCCAUGCCACACCACAGCCUGGAAGAUCUCCCAAGGUGGUAUCUUGAGGCAAUGGUAGAGCUCAUGUCACAGUAUUGUAUGCCUCAGGUAUCACUGUCCUUCACUCUUUGAUAUAAUCUCUCUACAAACCAUUGUUCCAUACACUUUGCCCCUUUUGUGUUUGUUUAUACAUGUGGUAUGGCAUGUCUAAACCUCACAGUGAGGAU